rnacentral:rRNA from 1 species
UACGGGGGGAGCAAGCGUUGUUCGGAUUUACUGGGCGUAAAGGGCGCGUAGGCGGCCAGCACAAGUCGGUUGUGAAAUCUCCGAGCUUAACUCGGAAAGGUCAACUGAUACUGCGGGGCUAGAGUGCAGAAGGGGCAACUGGAAUUCUCGGUGUAGCGGUGAAAUGCGUAGAUAUCGUCAAGAACACCGAUAGCGAAGGCAGCUUACUGGGCUGUAACUGACGCUGAGGCACGAAAGUGUGGGGAUCAAACAGG